UAAUAGGCUCUUAGUAAAUGUG
rnacentral:miRNA from 1 species